rnacentral:rRNA from 1 species
AUUGAACGCUGGCGGCAUGCUUUACACAUGCAAGUCGAACGGUAACAGGCCGCAAGGUGCUGACGAGUGGCGAACGGGUGAGUAAUGCAUCGGAACGUGCACAGUCGUGGGGGAUAACUACUCGAAAGAGUAGCUAAUAGCGCAUACGAUCUAUGGAUGAAAGCGGGGGACCGUAAGGCCUCGCGCGAUUGGAGCGGCCGAUGUCAGAUUAGGUAGUUGGUGGGGUAAAGGCUCACCAAGCCAACGAUCUGUAGCGGGUCUGAGAGGACGACCAGCCACACUGGGACUGAGACACGGCCCAGACUCCUACGGGAGGCAGCAGUGGGGAAUUUUGGACAAUGGGCGCAAGCCUGAUCCAGCAAUGCCGCGUGCAUGAAGAAGGCCUUCGGGUUGUAAACUGCUUUUGUACGGAACGAAACGGCUCUGGUUAAUACCCGGGGCUAAUGACGGUACCGUAAGAAUAAGCACCGGCUAACUACGUG